UGAGGAAUAUUGGUCAAUGGGCGCAAGCCUGAACCAGCCAUCCCGCGUGCAGGAAGACGGCCCUAUGGGUUGUAAACUGCUUUUCCAGGGGGAGAAUUUUUCUGUCGUGACAGGAAUUGACGGUACCCUGGGAAUAAGCAUCGGCUAACUCCGUGCCAGCAGCCGCGGUAAUACGGAGGAUGCGAGCGUUAUCCGGAUUUAUUGGGUUUAAAGGGUGCGUAGGCGGAUUGAUAAGUCAGUGGUGAAAACCUGCAGCUUAACUGUAGGAGUUGCGUUUGUAAUGGACAGAUUGGGGGGUGUGAAAGGAAGGGGAAUGGUGAAUGGAGGGGUGGAAUGCUUAGAUAUUACACAGAAAAACGGAUGGGGAGGGAGGUUACUGGGCCAUUACUGACGCUGAUGCACGAAAGCGUGGGGAUCGAACAG
rnacentral:rRNA from 1 species